GUGUGCGAGUUUGUGUCGAAAAAGCUCGUUUGGUAUUGCUGAGGUAUAACUAACACAAUGAGUGAUUUUCAAAUCGGUGGAAGAAUCAAGAAACUCAACAACACAUCUAUAACAC